rnacentral:rRNA from 1 species
AUACGUAGGGGGCGAGCGUUGUCCGGAAUGAUUGGGCGUAAAGGGCGCGUAGGCGGCCCGGUAAGUCUGGAGUGAAAGUCCUGCUUUUAAGGUGGGAAUUGCUUUGGAUACUGUCGGGCUUGAGUGCAGGAGAGGUAAGUGGAAUUCCCAGUGUAGCGGUGAAAUGCGUAGAGAUUAGGAGGAACACCAGUGGCGAAGGCGACUUACAGGGCUGUAACUGACUCGUAGGCGCGAAAGUGUGGGGAGCAAACAGGAUUAGAUACCCUGGUAGUCCUCACUGUAAACGAUGAAUGCUAGGUUUAGGGGGUAUCGACCCCUUCUGUGCCGCAGUUAACACAAUAAGCAUUCCGCCUGGGGAGUACGGCCGCAAGGUUGAAACUCAAAUGAAUUGCCGGGG